rfam:Stegodyphus mimosarum contig26555, whole genome shotgun sequence.
GUCUUCGUGGUGUAAUGGUCAGCAUACUCGACCGGUAUUCGAGAGAUCUGUGGUUCGAGUCCCGGCGAGGGCG